CUGCAGCCCGGCUUGAGUGAAGCUCAUUUUUUUUGCGUUGGCUAAAGCUUUGGCAAAAAAUAGCGGGAACGGAAGACGGAAAAAGC
rnacentral:misc_RNA from 1 species